GUGGGUUGUUAGAAAAGAAGACAUCAAGUUGGGAGAUGCUCCUGUGGGUCAGGAGGCAGGGAGGAGCUAGCAGGGAGAAAUGAGGGAUACAUGUGAUCAUAUUUGUUGUUUCUAUUAUUAUUAUUAUUAUUCCUAUGAAUUCUCAAACAUAAAGAACAGGAUGGGCAAUUGAGGAAGUCACCCAACGUUGACCUCUGGCCUCCACUCCCCCGGUCAUCCCCCAACCCCCACAACACAGAACCUUUUGUUUUCAUAGCGUUUUCAGGUUUAGUCAAGGCAGGGGGUGAAAACAAGACCACCUCUGAGAGGCUAAAGUUCUGGGGAAUGCUUUUUUCUUGGUACAUUUCCUGACUUUCUCUUCUUAAAAAAAAAUCUGUGUGCUGAGGGAUGUGCACCACAUGUUCUGUAAAUGUCAGGCUAACCUCAGGGGUCAGCACCUUCUAUCGUUUCGGAACACUGUCAUCACUGCAUAUCCCAGCCUUGCCUAUCAACACCCAGAAAGUCUGUUUCCUUCUCCUACCUUGCUAUACAGGGGUGCUGGGGUUUCAUGCUUGUGCUACAGCGUUUAGCUCUACACACUUGCAAGGCAAGCAGUUUACCCACUGAACCCUCUCUCCAGACUACACCCUGAUCUGGGGAGCAAUACCACCCUAGUCUUCCUUAGAUUAUCUCGUGACAAGGUCAAGACCUAGGAAUCUUUCCACAGACCUCUCUGAAGGCCUAGGCUGGUCCCCUCUCACUUGGAAUAUCUAGCCAAAUAAAUACACCAUGGGGCCAGAGCUCAGGAGUGUGGACCAUCUCAGUGAAGAUACACCAGGGUUGGCAGAGAACAUGAUGGCUCAGCACAAACCCCUGAACUCAAGCCUGAUCACUGAUGAAGGUGAUCACUGAUGAAGGUGAUCACUGAUGAAGGUGAUCACUGAUGAGGGUGAUCACUGAUGAGGGUGAUCACUGAUGAAGGUGAUCACUGAUGAGGGUGAUCACUGAUGAAGGUGAUCACUGAUGAAGGUGAUCACUGAUGAAGGUGAUCACUGAUGAAGGUGAUCACUGAUGAAGGUGAUCACUGAUGAAGGUGAUCACUGAUGAAGGUGAUCACUGAUGAAGGUGAUCACUGAUGAAGGUGAUCACUGAUGAAGGUGAUCACUGAUGAAGGCCCAGAGUCCUAUAGAUCCUUGGGAGCCAUUUCUUUACUGAACGGCACAAGUGGAGAGGUGUCUCACUCUUGCUAUUUUACUUCCUUGGUUUUGUUCUUUUAUUAGUAAAAUCAAAGGACGGUAUUGAUCGGGGAUGUUCACCUCUACCACAAGAGCGGUUUUCAUUCUGUUUAAUCCUAUAAUCCCACACAAGACCUUACGUUGUAUUUACUGUUUGCAUUUUAAUCAUCGAGGCUCCAAUUGAUUUACACCCCAUACCCCCCCCUACCAUAACCUUGACAAAAAGGGAGGAAUACAAAAGGAAAGGCUAAGACAGAACCUUCUAGAAAGAGCUGCUCAAGUACAUUUGUUCAGGGUCCUACAAUACACUGAGCAGUUUUAACCAUAUUGAUGAAUCACAUUAUAGCAUGGAUUUUUAAGGGGGAAAAAAAUCUGACUUAGGGACAAGCGUGAUUUGUUUUCUUAAUUGAAGGAUAAACUCAUAACAUGCUGAGAAAAAAAUCAUUAUGUAAUAUACUACAUUAUGAAGAUAAUCUAUUAAAGUGCACUCAGAAAAAUCAGAGAAUGGCGGGGGGAUCACAGAACAGUUGUUUUUGCCUGCAGAGCUACACAGGCAGAUUUUUAAAUGAUUCUGAAUUUGCUCUCAGAACCAAUCUAUAGGAAAAUGGCGAUUGUAAACAGUUAAGGUCGAAUUUUCCCUGUUUUCAAAACCUUGACCUAUCUGGACAGUAUAUCUUAACAUCAACAUACAGAAGAGUGUAAUAAAAAUAUUAGCAUUGCACUUAGAGGGAGGGGGGCCUCUUAACUCGUAUGCUCCACAACCAGCAACACUUCAACUUCUGGACAGCCCUACUGUCAGAAACCCACGUGCUGUGCAGUCCCUUACCACUAAGAAACGGACAAAAGUUCUGUCCCUGGGAAUGCAACCCGAUGGCUGCUGGCCCUGGAGUCUUCACUGAGUUUUCAUUUUUUUUUUAACUGUUUUUUUUUUUUUUUAAAUCUCUCGUCAUAGAGCGUCUCACAUUCAGGAAACAUAAAGUCAACCAUCUACAAACAGACUUUUAAAGGCUGCCUAUCCCUAACGUCUCACAAUGUUAAUAAAUCCCAAUUCCAACGCCCUCUGGAUGACCACUUAGCAUGCUUUACAGCUCGGCCUACUGGGAGAUAAGAGCAGGCUGUGAACUGUGCCCACCCUGACUCUAAAGGCCUAAACUCACGGUGAUGAUUAUUUUUUUUAAUUAAGAUUUCCAUUUCUUGAGAUCUUUCUGCACUUGUGGUUUUAAUCCAUCCUCAAGCUGUGCCCGGGAGGAGGAUGGGAGGCAGGCUAUCGCACACACUGCCUCUUCUCGUCUCUAACGGCCUUCUUUGUAGGGAAAGCUGUGCACAGACUGUGCCCAUCACGGCCGAUCCCUCAGAGAAUUCCGCCUCUGCGAGGGAGAUCACAGCACUGAAGAUUAGUGGUAACCUUUUGAUUUUAGCUCAGCCAAGGGUAAAAUACAUUAAUAUUAAAAAUGUAGAAGCAGGAAAAAUUUUUUUAGUGACCUAUUCUGUAGCCACAUCUAUCAAAGGACUUCCAACUAGUUCAAAAUAGAGGGUUCCCUUAAAAUGUAACCUCUUUUUAGGAGGACUUUACGGCAUGGUACAGGAGACAUAAGUUAGAAAAUUAGAUUGUCUUGGAAAACAUGACCAGCAUCUUAAAUCAAUGAAGGAUGCCUUAAAAAAGACCAAUUUUUUUUUCCAUAAUGGCAAACAUCAACACAGCAAAACAGAAUGCAAUUUUUCUAAAUAAAUAAAUCAAUGAUGUGUCAAAAAUUAACAGAUGAGUUAAUAUUCUCGGAGCCACCAAAAGCAGGUGGUGCUUCCUAAUAUGCAUCCUGCUCAGUCAAUCCCUGAAUAUUUUCUGGACCAUCGGUAUAUAAAAUAGGAUGCUGCUAUUUGUGAUGGCAAACAAAAGCAAUCAUGCCUGCCAAGCACAUAGUAUAACAGGCAGCAUUUCAGCUCUGCUAGACAGAAAGUAAUUAGAAUGCUUUUAAUGUCCAAAAGAAUGAUGCUGAUAGGCUGCCACAGAUGUGUAGAUUUAUGAAUAUUUAUAUGGUGGUUUAUGGCUGACACUUUUAUCAGUUGAAGAAGAUAAAAUAUCUGCCUGACUCAAAAGCUUGACAGUCAGGUUAAUAAAAUCUCAUUAAAGAGAAUGACCUAUGCAAUUAUAUAGGAUUUAUUGUAAUUCAUUUUUGAUUGUACUCUGCUUAAAGAUGCAAUUUCCCAUUUCCUGAUGCCAAAUUUAGGCUGCGUAUCAAGAUCUACGUGGGUUUUAACUCUAAGCCUCCCACAGAGGAAAAAUAUGCUUUUUAAACCAUGGUGUAUUACCCCUUUUAAGGAAAAUUAUACUCUUCAUGAGACUUUAUAAGAAUGUUGAAAAAAAUCUAUUUUUAAUCACAUAUUUCUUCUCCCAAUGGCUUGUAGCAUUUAAUGGCAAAUAAGACUCACUCCAACCCUUUCAUCUUUUCAGCAUAUUUACCCUGGACAGUCAGUCAUCUCCUCUACGCAGAGCUCAUUUACCACAAUGCUGUUUGACUAUUUCCAGCUGACAAGGUGGCCUGAACACUCAGCACAAUUACUCUGCUGAGAGAGAAGGCAACAGGCAGAGCCCCACCUGCCCCACCCCCAGGCGGUUAAAAGGCCCAGUCGAGCAGAGAAGCUCAUUGGCUCAAAGUGGCACCAUUAGUUCCUCAAAGAACCAAUCAGCUCUUCAGGUGGCUGUCCCUCUGAUGGCUACUCACAUGGCUGUGCCUGUUGAGAGAUGGUCUGCUCAUUAGUGAUUAAUAUUACCUUAGUUCUGUGGCUUCCCCCUCUACAUCCAGAACAUUCUCCAGGACACAGGGAAGAAACCUACUGUCCAGUUCCCAUCUUUCCAACAAACACCACUAGGUGGGCAUCCAGAGCCCCAUACACACACAAGAAAAGCCCCAACCAGAACAGCCUUGAGAAAACUGGUAAUAAGUUUGAAGGCAAAAAAAAAAAAAAAAAAAAAAAGAAGAAGAAGGAGCCGUCCUAUCCUUAGAUUCAGCAACAAUGGCUUCUAACUUGUGACAGAGACAAACCAAAAUAGGAAAUUGGGAAAAAAUACCCAGGGGAGGAGAAAACAGACCCCCAAAAAUUCCAAAUGAAGGAAAGACGGCAGAGUAACUUCCAGAACAAGAGCAGCCAUGGGAAGAAUGGUGAGAAACUGAGGCUGAGAGAAAUAACCCGGUGAGUGUCAGGGAAGAGCAACCUCCGGAUGCAAAUAGUAAGGAGGGGUAGGACCAUAGUAUUCUGGAGAAAGUCAAAGACUGAACCGCAAUAGCUUGAAGGAAGUGCUUUAUCAAGGGCUGAACCAAGAAGGUAAAGGGUUGGUCCCCAAAGAGUUGGCUGGAACCAACAUUAUACAAGAGUGCAAAAUAUGGGAAAAGGGAAAAGGACUCACACUACUGGAAAGCAACAUACAAAAGCAAAAAAAAAAAAAAACCAAAAAAAAACAAAAAACAAAAAAAAAAACACAAAACGCCAAGCAGGGGUAACAGACACAGCCAAGAAGUAGCAGGGGAGCCCCCAAAACAAGUUCCAAGCAAGACCCUGUUUCAAAACCAAAAGCCAACGGAACAUGAAAGCAGAGAAGAGCCCAACAAUGAAUAUAAAAACACAACACAAUGGGAUAUGAGGGCAAAGGCAACAGAGGAAAAAAAACAUCCCAGAAAUAGUAAGGAAGCCCACGUAAGAACUCCAAUUCAGAAUCGCUAACAUCUCCAAAUCAUUGGGGAGACGACAGAAACAAGGCUUCACUAUAACCUGUAAUUAGAUUUUCUUUCUCCAAACCAAUCCUUCACAUGUCAAAAUAUUGACAAACAGCAGAGCUCUUAGCAUAGGCAUCUAUAACUCCUUCAGAGACAAUGCCCAUCUAUUGUCACUAGGAAGAAAAAAAAAAUCCAACACAAAGUCUUAGAUUCGCUGACAAUCUGAAUCUAGGAGGCUCUUAAGUGCCCUGAAAGGCCUGAGCAGGUUCUGAUGAGCCCAUAAACGUGGCUGUGUGUCCUUCCCUCAGGAGCUGAGACUGGGUGCAGGCCUUGCUCAGUGCUCGCUCACAUUCCCUAGAGGAGAUAAAAUCUCGACCUCUGGAGCAGCAGAACCGCGGAUAAAGCUAGGGGGACUGUGCGCCAUGGACACCGGAGCGCACAGAGAACAAGAAACCCAGAGACCCCAGGAGGAGCCCAAGUGGUCCAGGUCUGCCCUACUGGGGCCGGGAUCUUCAAAGGUCAGCUCCCCCCACUCCCCCAGGCAAAGAACCUCCGAGAAGGACAAGUAGACCUCGGGCGGGCGGGCAGGCGGGAAAGGGAAGUGUGGCGUGGGGGAAAAAGUGAAGUGGCCGGGAAUAAAAUGGGCGUCUCCUCGGAGUGGCCUCAGCCCGCUGUCCCGGGGCCUGUCCCCUCCCCAGCUCCCCGCCCAGGGCCUGCUCUCUUCACAGGCUCUCCCGCUGCCCUCCCGGGUGCUCGCCAGGAGCCCGCACCCCACAGCCACCUGUUAAGGCGCGCGCGCCGUCGGAAGCUCGGGUCACCGCGGCGCCCCGGAAUCUUCCAGAAGUUACUACUGCCCGAGCGUAGCACGCUCCCGAGGCCCACGGGGACCACGGGGACAGCGCGCACAGCCUCUCCGGACCCCCCGAUUCCCACGCCCUCCCCCCCUCCACGCCACCUUCGGAGCUCCGCAAAGUUGCGGCCCGGGAGUCUGUACCUGCACUGAGCUCCAGGCUGGCGCCGUCGCUACCCGCGCCGCUGCUGCAAGCGCCGGUCGCCGGGCCAGGGCCGUACCUGACGACGGCGGCGAAGGACGACGACGACGAGGCGGCGGGGGCCGCGAGCGGCGGAGGCGGCGGCGGCGGUGGCGCCGGAGUCCUGGGAUGGCCCGGGGGCGCGGCGGGUGUGCAGGACGGCGACGACGACGAGGCGGCGGCGGCGGCGGGGGCCCGGCCUGACCCGGCCGGGUAGGACGGCUGCGUCGGGAACGGCGGCGGCUCGCUGCUGCUGAUGGGCACGGCGGCGAGCGAGGCGAAGGGCGGCGGCGGCGGCGGCGGCGGCAGCGGGGACGGCCGCGCGGGCGACAGCUCGAGCAGAGAGGGUCUGUCGUAGCGCUUGGCCAGCGCCGGCCGCCGGCUGGGGAACGUCUUGAGGACGCUGUAGGGGCCGCGCUGCUUGUAGAUGCGGGGCGCGCUGGGCCCCUCCUCCGCCGCCUGCAUCUCGGGCUCCAUGCCGAGUCUGAGGCCCUGCCCGCCCCGCGCGCGGCUCCGGAGGUGGCUCGGCCGCCCGGCCGCCUGCUCUACCCCGGCGCGCGCCGGCGGGAAGGCGUGUGUCUGCGCCGUGGCCGCCGCCGCCGCCGCUGCCUGUCGCCGAGCCUGGCAUCUCCGAGCCCCCGCGCGGGGGGCUGCCGCCCAGCGCUGAUUGACAGCCCGCCUCGCCAAUGCCUGGAGGGAGAAAGGAGGUAAGGAGCAAGUGUUUAGGGUAAUAUCUGCUAAUGAUGAUGGGGGCGGGGCGGGGCCUGGGCCCGGGCGGCCCGCGCGAUCGGCGCUUCGGACAGGGUCGUGGGGGGAGGUGGGGAGGGGGAGCCCGUGGCCCGAGGGGACCCGGUGGGGGAACGGAACCUGGAGGGCGUCCCGGUGGGGACAGGUGGAAGAGGUGGCGUCCCGGCUCUCUCGGCUGUGGACGUGAGGCGGCAGCGGUUGUCCGCAGGGUCCGAGCUUUGGAAAGGAGUUCCCGGCGCCCUCCUGCGUGACCUCCCAACUCUCGGAGUGCACGAAGGGGGUGGUACCUAGAAGUUAGGGCGGGGUCGCCAGAGUGCAAGGGUGGGACAGCAAGUUCUUCUAGAAGGAAGCUACACCUCCCUCCCCCCGCCCCCCUCCCGAAAAAGAACAUCUCGAAGGACUUGGCACAGGCCGCUGGGAGGUUUGUCCUGCCUUAGGGUCUUGCUGUCCCAGGUCUGGCGGCCGAACCAGAAAGCACUCAGGGCCUAGUGCUUCCAUACUGUUUCGCUUGUUCUCCAUAGGGAGCUGGGCGAGAGAGCACAGAGGCGCCAUCAUUUCUUUCCAUUCUACAGAUUUGAAAACUGAGGCUCUGAAAGACCAGAUUUGAAAACUGAGGCUCUGAAAGACUAAAGGGAAAUAUGCAAAUUCACGCAGAGGAGUUUGUGAGUGAAUUGCACGGUUACAUAUAGGUCUUCAGAAUGUAAAAUAGCUGGUAGACAGUGCAAUUCAAGGGAACAAAAUGAUCCCACGGUUCCCUUUGGGAUGGUGACUGCUUUGAACAUUAUUAUAUUAUCUAUGCAUAUACGUUGCAAGACCAAAGUGGCCUGGGAUCACCCUUUCCUUGCGUUGCUCAUACUACCCGGCACCACCGGGCUAAGGAUUCAGUGAUGAAGAUCUCAGUAAUUUGCCGAAGCUGCCCCGUAAGGUUCUUCAAACACAAGGAAGGGUUCCGGCCUCUGCCAGUCACUCCUUCCUGUCUCAAAGGGAGCAUCCUCUAGUUAGGCCUACCCCAAUCCCUGCAUCCCCUCUUCCCAAGCUUGGGUUUCAACCUCGUUCAUCAUUAUCCAGGUCCUUGAUGAAUGAAGCUCAUCUCUCCAAUCUGGAGUUGCUUUUUUAUUCAGAGCUAUCCUUCAGUCUUGGGAAAGUGACCCAUUUUCUCCUGGGGGCCAGGACUUUGGCCUCUCAUUUUCCAGAUCUCUCCCAUUGGAAGAGUUCCUCUCCCUUGCUGUUUCCAGAGUCUCUGCUCACCCACUCUGGACUGUCUUCCUCUCCUCAGCAAGCUCCUCUGAUAGUGCUGUGCCCCUCCCCCAUUUAUUAGAGAUGAAAUAAAUAAUGCCAUAAAUAAAAGUAUUUGGGAGUCCAGGAACUGUCAGGGCUGAUUAGGGCAUAGAGGACAUUUUCUUUCUCAUUAUGCAAAAGCAUUUCAUGGGGAAAUAAAAGAGGUUUCAUUGUAACUCAUGCAUGUCAUAUUUCAAGGAAUUCACGAUAUUAAUCAUAUUUAACAUUAUUUGCAGCGUUUCUUCUCCCUGGCUUCUGAAAACUGCUAAAUGAGGACACGUGGAUCACUGGGAAGAAAGGGCGGGCGAUGAGCAAGUGAGGGACAGUUAAGAAAUAAUGAAACGCUGGUGAAAGACAGAGAGAAUGAGAUGCCGGGGAGAUGUUUCUUAGGCACCGAAGGGAGAGGUGGGGGAGAGGCUCCCGAGCCGGGAGACAGCUGAAACUGAAUGAUAUACGGAGGAGAUAAAUGGUAACAACCCUCCCCUCACUUUCCUGUCUAGAGAGCAGUUCUGAAUUUUGCAUCGAAAUCUUUCCCUCCCACAUUUACUCCCUGAUAAUUUGCCAGUAACUCCCUGCUUUGGAAAAGAAAUUAGGGUGGUCAUGGUGGUGGUCAUGGGGCUGAGCAGAAGAAAACCUUCAGUCCUUUGGUAAGAAAAUGAUUUCCUGUAUCUGGGGCAGAGCUUUCUCUUAGAUUUAUUAAUUUUAUUUGUAUGAGUGUGUUGCCUGCAUGUGUAUAUAUGCACUGCAUGGAUACCUGGUGCUGGAGGAUCUGGAACUGGUAGCACAGUUGUGAGCCACCAUGUGGGUGCUGGGAAUUGAACCCAAGGCCUCUGGUUCAACAAGUGUGGCCACCUCUUUAGCCCUUAUGUACAUAUUUUAAAUUUAUGUUAACCUUGCCACUCAAACACCUUGAGAGACCGGGAACGAUACUUUCUUCAUGUUUUACUGACUAAAGGAACCACCUCUAUUUUAUAUCCCCAAAUAGCCAUUUCUACAAAAGUGAAUAUUCUAAUGAAUGGUUGCGGUAAUUGGGUUGGAAGCGUAGUCCCCAGUGCAACAGGAUUGGGAGAUGGGGCCCAAGAGUAGACAUUUAGUACAUACAGGCUGUGUCCCCAAGCUUGGAUCAAUGCCUGUUACAAAAGAGCUUGAGAUUGUGAGUGAAUUCUUGGGUGCUCGUGUGGGUGAUGCCUCUGCCACUGUAUGGUGCGUACUACAAGAAGGUUCUAACCGGAUGCUGCUGCCCAGCAACCCUGGAUGUCUCAGCCUUCGGAAUUGCAGAAAGAAACAAAAUAAAACAAAACACCCCCCCCCAAACCUACCUAAUUGAUGAUAUUCUGUCACAGCAAAAAAACAUAACCUUGUAUAGGGAACAAGAUAAGGAUUGUUGCAACAAUUUCUUUACAAUGUGAAAAUGCCCAGGUAGUAGAGUAUGGAAGAAUUUGGAAGCAUAAAUUUGAAAAAGCCUAGGUUCCUAUGAAUGGAAUAUUAAUGCUGAUUCUAAUAAAGACUGUUGCAGGAUAUUUGAUCACAUGGCCUCCUCCAGAACUCUGAACUGGAAAUCUUGUUACUUGUGGCUAGGUCCUCGCACACAGCUUUAACCCAAGAGCUGCAGACAAGAGCUAAAUAAAGUCAAUGGUAGGCUAGGAGAUAGAGCUAGCAACCAGUUGGUAGGGACUGUACAUAAGAAAACCCAGGAAACACGCCGUUAAUCCCAGCACUCGGGAGGCAGAGGCAGGCAGAUUUCUGAGUUCGAGGCCAGCCUGGUCUACAGAGUGAGUUCCAGGACAGCCAGGGCUAUACAGAGAAACCCUGUCUCAAAAAAGAAAGAAAAGAAAAGAAAACCCAGGAAAGAGAAAGGAGGGCCUUUGAGUUGAAGGGUGUAGGAGUUCUUUUCUUCGGGGACAUCAGGGACAUUGGGGGAGUAGGAAGGUCAGCUGCGUGGGUGCUUCCCCUGUCUCUUUGAGCUGGCAUGGUAGCUGGCUCCUGAGUCUUCGUUUGGUAAAUUGAACAUUUGGGAUUUGGUUUUAAAAACCACAGACGACUGGGAACUAUAGGUAAAGUGUGGGACUUUUUUUUUUUCAAUGAGCUUAAGCAGUUUUGAUCCGUGGUAGAAAAGUAAGCUUUGGUGGUUCAUGAGUGUAAUCCCAGCACCGUCCCCUCGUCUGGCACCCACUGAGGAGGCCACUCAAGUGGCCUGACCUGACCAUACCCAGACCCUAUUGAGGAAGGCGGGUGGAGAGAAGAGCAUUCUGAUGAGUGUCUGAUGGGAAUGAGGAAAUGAGCUGGAGUAAAGACUAUCUUUGUUUGAGCCGGGCAGUGGUGGCACAUGCCUGUAAUCCCAGCACUUGGGAAGCAGAGGCAGGCAAAUUUCUGAGUUCGAGGCCAGCCUGGUCUACAGAGUGAGUUCCAGGACAGCCAGGGCUACACAGAAAAACUCUGUCUCGACCCCCACUUCCCCAAAAAAGACUAUCUUCAUUCCACAGAACUCUGUGUGUGGAAGGCAAAACUUACACAUAAAGAACAGCGAAGUGCUAAGAUGUUUGGCAGAAUAAAUAUCUAAGUAGUCGCAAAGCCUUCAGAAGGCUGUGUAGCCUCUUUUGCCUGAGAAAGGAGAGAUGAUUUUAAAAUGGAAUUUAUAAUCGAAGGGAAUGCAGAGCAGAAAGAUGGGGAGAUUUUCAGCCUGGCACGGUAGGAGUGAAAAAAGCAUGCCCAGGAGAGAGUACUACGGGUAUAGCCAGUCACCCUUUUGCUCAAGAGAUUAUUUGGGCUCCCGUUGCUCCAGUUCUAGUUCCCAGGAUAAUGAGAGAGUAGCCUUAACCAUGUUUCUGAAAUCUUUUAGACAAGCUAGGACUUUGAAGGCAAGGUUUCCAGAAAGGCAUUUGCUGGCCAGAAUCACCUUGAAAGGCACCUACAUUCUGGGUGCAGCACUCCCUGGCUACUCCAGGUGUGCCUCAAGUUAGACUAGGUUAGCUUAGAAGGGCGGAAGUGGUGAGCUUUGGAAGUGUCUGUGUGGGCCAACUGGGACCAGUUUUCAAAGAUGUUAGACAGUUUGGAGCUUUAGGCAGAGACAUGGCUGGGUUACUACAGAGCAUUCCACUGAGGGCGGUGUUUAGAGAAGGCAAACACCUUCUCCCGCAAACAGUAGAGCCGCUAGUGUCCAGCCCCAUUCUGGGAAAGCCGAAUAAGUGAAUCCCAGCAGAGAGUAAAGAGUGUCCACCGAAUACUUCCGGGGCCCAAACCCUUUAGGGCAAUGAUCCUCAACCUUACCGAUUCUGCGACCCUUUGAUACAGUUCCUCAUGUUGUGGUGACCCCUCCCCCAACCGUUUUUCAUAACUGUAAAUUUGCUAAAUGUAACCAUAAUGUAAACAUCUGAUAUGCGACCCCUGUGAAAGGAGGUUGUGAACCACACGUUGAGAGCCACUGCUUUCGGGCCUCUAGGAGGUGACAAGUAGUUAUUCUGGGGUCCUAUGCUUUAAGUAUAUGGUUUAAAUACGAUGGCUCCUCUGUUGGGAACCGUCAUAUUUGUGGUUUUGAGAUAAGGUCUCACUGUAUCCAAAAGUGGCUUGGAAGUCACUGUGUAGCAGAGUACAGACUAGAAUUUGAAGUGAUUCCCCUGCCUCAACUUCCGAAGCACUGGGAUUACUGCAUGCUGGGGUUACAGACCUUGGCCACCAUUCCUGGCCUAUAGUUGUAUUUGGAUAAUGUGUUUGAGUUCCCUGACUCCCAGUUGGCAAGGAAUUAGCCUGAGGAUGAAUUAAAAUACCUGAUUUAAACGCCGCUCCUGGACUUAGGACUUGUAACCUGGCAUUGGAAUGAAUUUACACUUUGCGGGAUUUUGAGGUGGACACUUGUAUGUAUGUAUGUAUGUGAAAAUAGCAUGCAUUUUUGAGGCCGGGGGAGGGGGAGGGGGCACAAUACUAAUGAUUUGAAUCUGUCUCCCAAUAUUAUGUAGCAGAAACAAUCCCCAGUGUGACAGUGUUGGGAGCUAGGGCCCGGUGGGAGGUGGUUAGGUCCUAGGGGUUGCCCACCUCCCCCAUGAAAGGAUGGAUAUGGAGUAUAUAGGCUACAAGUAUGUCUGUUGUACUCCCUCACCCACACACUGUCUGUUGUGUCAUAGAACAGGAGGAAAGCUCUAGCCAAUAAGACCCGCAUCCCUGGACUUCCAAGUCUCCAGAACUAUAAGCCUAACAAAUGACACAUGACCCUCUCUGGAAUUCUGUUGUAGCAUCGCAGAAAUGAAUUAAGACAGUGGCUUAGCUUUGCUUCCUAUAAAAGGUCUCCUGGAAGAAACAUAUUAGAAAUGUAAAGCAGACACUUUUCAUAUCCACACACAGGCAGCGUCUUAGCCCGCAUCACAGAGAAUCGUUUUCCUAGCCGAGAGCACGUGUAAUCCAAACGCUAUGGACGCAGAGAUAAGAGAAUCCUGACUUUGAGGCCAGUCGGGACAGCUUAGUAAGACCCUGUCUCAAGACAGAAUUAAAAAAAAAAUGCCAGUAGUCUAGCUCAGCGGUGGAGUAGACCCCUUUAAGUUGUGAUUAUCACCCCUCCCACCUGGGUUAUACUGAACCCAGAGCUGUGUGUGGAUGUGUGGAGCAGAGCCUGCUUGACCUUGGCUGACCAGAACACUGCGAUUGUGGAUUGAUGGACAGACACUCAGGACCAAAGUUACUCUGGGCUCCUUAGGCCCUUUCCUAUCCUUCCCUUUCAACCCCGUAUCUGUUCUAACAUCCUUGUGAGCGGGUUAAGAUCUUACAGUAAGUCACUAACCUUAGGGGACCUGUGACUUCCACCAACUCUAAAGCUAAGAGUAUUCUGACAUCUCGGCCUGUAGAGAAGACUUCCUUUCCACCGUGCGGUAGCUUCUCCGAAAUUGUCUAUCAGUGAUCUUGAAAUGUGUCUGUUUAUCACCUUUGUUCUGUGGCUGUGAACAAAGCCUCUUCUACAGUGGAACGUGCUGUUCAGAGAAGCUCUAAUCUGUGUCCUAACCCAUGGUCACUGUCUUUGCCUAAGAAUAAGCUGUUUUCUUUUCUCUUUGAAUGCCAAGUUGUUGCUUUGGUAUAAACACAAUAGAGCUAGGCACUUUUUAAAAAUUACAUUUAUUUCUUAUUGAUUACAUGUAUUUAUGUGUCUGGGUACAUGUGAAGGUCAGAGGACAUCUUGCUUGAGUUGGUUCUGUCCUUUCUUAAUAAAUUCUCUUUUUUUCUAGAUUUAUUUAUUGUUAUAUUUAAGUACACUGUUAGCUGUCUUCAGACAGGGCGUCAGAUCUCAUUACCGAUGAUUAUGAGCCACCAUGUGGUUGCUGGGAUUUGAACUCAGGACCUUAGGAAGAGCAGUCAGUGCUCUUAACCGCUGAGCCAUCUCACCAGCCCAGAGCUAGGCACUUAACAAAGCCAUAAGUAACACUCAGUAAACAUCUUGCUCUGCUCUGUAGUCUGAGUCAUAGGACAGUGACUUCAUCAUUAUCUGCUCUUGGGGGCCUUACAGAGAUGGUAAUGACACUCAUGCUUUCUACCUCUUUAGAUAUUUACUCUUAUCUCAAAAAUACGAGAUAGUGACCUUUUGAAAACCAAGGGGCUAUAUAUGGACAGGGUGAGUUUUUUGAUUGGCAGCCUGUCAAUUCCUUGAGCCAUCUAGAAUAUAGCUUUUAAAUAAUAACUCAGCCAUGGGAAAUGCUUUUUAUUGCACCAAUUUCAAUGAUAUUUAAUGAGCUUCUGAUUGACUGUUUGAUCUCCCAAUGUUUUGUGCUACUUUUAAUUCAUUUCGUAUAAUAGAAAAAAAAAGUAAUUGGAAUAAAAUUUUGUGACAAGAUAAUGACCUUCCACUUUGAAAUUAAAUGUCUGAUUAGCUUCAACAUUUUAAUGCCGAGAUGAUACUGCAGCAGGCACGGGAGUGUGCGUACUGUCAUUCCAUAGGAAGUGACUGAGAAAUACGCCUUUGCUUUACUUAUUGCAUGGUGAAUGGGCGUGGUGUCUACAGAAUCAUAGAUGUGCAGGCCUAGAGGAAACGCUGCAGUCUGACCGAACCCAUGUCUGUAGUUUUUAACAACUCUGCUACACGGUUGUACAAACCAUGUUUCGGUACCAGUGAUGGAGAUCUCACUGCCUCCAAACACUUCAUCCAUUCACCCGGAUAUUAGUCAAAAAUAUUUAUUGUGUGUUUACUAUGCUAGGUGUCUUUGUGGGCACCGAGGGAUAUAAUGGUGAGACGUACCAGGGUCCAUUGAGGGAAUAAGGAGAAGAUAAUAAAUUAGUUGCCAACUUGCAAAUUUUUGAGAGCCGCAAUUACUGAGAAAGGUGGGUAAAGGGUGUUCCCGUCCAGCCUCUUUUCCUUCCACAUAACUAAGGAAGUCUCAAAUCUUCUACCUGGUUGAGGGUGACCUUGAAAACAGAGAAGACCGCCGUUAGGUGGGUUGAUUUGGAUAGCAGAGAGAAAGGCAAGAGGUUAGGCGUGUCAGGCAAAUGGCGGAACCAAGGGCCAAGAGCAGGUGGGGACUGAGCAGGGCAAGGUUUGCCAAAAGAAUAUCAGAGACUUGUUCUAACUGCAGUGCCGACUCCGGAGGGACCUGACCUGUGGAGUGACAUGAGCAGAUUGAUGUUAUUAAAAUCUAAUUUUCAGCCAGGCAGUGGAAUUGCACGCUUUUAAUCCCAGCACUUGGGAAGCAGAGGCAGAGGGAUCUCUGAGUUCUAGGCCAGACUGGUUCCAAAGUGAGUUCCAGGACAGCCAGGGCUACAUACACAGGGAAACCCUGUCUCGAGAAAACAAAUGAAACAACAGAAAAGACCAUUUUCAGAAAAGGUACAACCGUGACUCUUAUAAAGACAGUAAAAACAAGCAUGUGCUAGAGAUUUUAUUAGGUGUACUUGAUAGCCUCAUGGUUUCAAAGGAAAUGCUAGUAUCGAGAGAAGAAAGGAAGGCUAACAAAAUGUGUAGAUUCAUUUUUCCACCGGAAGUGGGCAAAGGCGGAAGGGAGCCUUUUCCAGAAAGGAUAACUUGGAUGUCUAGUAAUUAUCUGAACUUGAAAAGUAGAAAAAUCAAUCAAUCAAUCAAUCAAUCAAAUUAAAACCAGUGGAAGAAAAUGAGUUUCAGCAGAUAACUACAAACCAAGAGCCAUUAGACACAACAGCGUGACCCUAUGAAACCUAGUAUUUUCUGCACUGCUUUUUAGAAAACAAAAGGACCAUUUUAAAGAUCAUUUUCAAUUCACAGGAGGUCAAAAAGACGGAAUAGAGAGUCCCAGAUACCUUGUAUCUAGUUUUUACAAGGAGCACACCUUGUGCUAUUAUGUUCGUUGCAUGAAAUAUACACCCUUUUGAGGAUUCGCAUGUAACUCAAGGCCAUUGAGACUCACCUGUUUGCUACACACAUGCAUAGUAUGUUCCUUUUUAUGACUGGAGAGUAGCCUUUGGUAUGGAUGCACUAUAUGCUUUUAGCCAGUCCUUUUUUGUGGGAUAUUAUGGCUGUUAGCAGUCUGGAGGGAUUAUAUGCAUCUAGCCAACCUCAACAAUGCUGUGCAGGUUUUUUUUUGUGUGUGUGAAGGUAAGUUUGGUUUGGUUUGGUUUGGUUUGGUCUGGUUUGGUCUGGUUUUUCCAAAUAGGAUCUUUCUCUGUCCUAGAACUUGCUCUGUAGACCAGGCUGGCCUUAAACUCAGAGAUCUGCCUGCCUCUGGCUCCUGUGUGCUGUGAUUAAAAUGAUUAAAGGGAUUAAAGGCCUAUAUUUACUACUGCAUGGUAAUUCUUAUUCUCUGGGGCCAAGUGGCUAAGAAUGGGCUGUCAGUGUGCUUUAAUGUGUCUUAACAAUUCUCCUUUUUUUUUUUUUCUUACAGGAUUUGUCUGACAGCAGAGAGAGUUUUCAAAUCAGCAGCUGUGUGAUCCUUUUAAAAUAGAAUUGUGCUUCUCUUGGGUGGGUGUGGUGAUAUAUGCCUAUGAUCCCAGCAUUUGGGAGGCAGAAGCAGGCAGACCUCUGUUAGUUCAAGGCCAAGCUAGUGUACAUCAUGAUAUCUGGGACAGUCAUAGGGCUACAUAGUAACACCCUGUAGAGACCGUGUCUUAAAACAAAACAAGACAAAACAAAAACAACCACACACACACACACACACACACACACACACACACACACAAUCAGCUUCCAGUCUCCCCUUCAUUGUCUUUCCCCUCUGUGGUUACACUUUGCCUCUUAGAGCACAUUCCUCUCUCCACUGCAGCCUCACUGGUCUUUUUGAGCAGGUCAAAGGUAUUUUAGCUGGCAUGUUUUUCCCUGGAGUGUAUACACAGUUCUUUUCCAUAUCUCUUGUACGUUUUCCUGUGGUAUCCCUGUUUCAGUGAGGCCUUCACUAAGCUCCCUGCUUACAACUGUAACCCUGGCCCUUUCUUGUCACACACACACACACACACACACACACACACACACACACACACACACCUCCCUUCCUAUCUAGCACUGUCACUGUCUGUCAUACUAUGAAGUGCCAUUGUGGUGAGAUUAUAACUCCCUCACAGGAAGGGAGGUCUGCUGAGUCAGCAGGUAGACUAGUGCCUAGCACAUGACAGAGCCCCAGUGAACCUGCUGGGUGAGGAAUGGCUUGAAGAGCUGUGGAAGCAGCUGGAGGAAGUGCUAACAUUACCUAGAUGGAGAGGGGAGAGGCAGCAGUCAUGCUAGAGGGACGAGAGAACACUUCAGUAUUUCAGUGUUUCAGGAAGCGCAUAUCCUAUUGCAGCCAGCUCCGAGCAGAGGAAAGGUUCAACCUUCGUUCUCUCUUCCAAAUGAAGUCUGUAAUAGUUUUCUUUUCUUUCUGUAAAGGAGGCUCUGUUGAGCCUGUUUGGAAAAGUGAUGUCCUUUUAAAGAAUAUAUAAAGGCAGUCAUUUUAAAAAACUGAAUUACUGGGUUUUUUUUUCACUAAUAGUAUUCUAGAUUCGUGAGAACUCUUACAAAGAGUAAGAGACCUCCCAAAAUGGGGAAACAAUGUAGGGGAGAAGAAAGCUGAUUGUGUGUGUGUUUGUGUGUGUGUGUGUGUGUGUGUGUGUGUGUGUGUGUGUGUGUGUGUGUUGAGACAGUCUAACUACAGGGUGUCAUGAUGGAGCCUAGCCUGAGGUACCCACAAGGACUGGAGCUUAGGUGGUGCAGGGUAGACAGGCAUGUUCCUGAGAUGUUACUAGCAACCCCCUUCAAUCUGCCUCCCACCUGCUCCUGUCUUCGUGUCCAUCCGUUUUGCUGUGUGUUCCUUGCCAGUCCACAUGGCCCCAGAGGUUGUCAGCUGUGUGCAGAAUAUCUAUUUCUUAUCAGAUUUGGAGGUGUCAGCAUAGAGCACCGUUGCCUAAUUGGGUCUUGAUGAUUGAUGGUUUCAUCCAUGAACACUUCCAAUAUUACAAUGUGAGUAGCAUUUCCCUUGAAGCAAAGAGAAAAACAAAGACUUGCAGAUUUCCCCACACCCACAGCUCAUUUAAAAAGUUUAACUGAAAACUCUCCGAUUUAACCAAAGUAGCCGGUGACCCUUUUGAAGUUUCGAAAAUUUGACCCUUUAGUUUCUUAUUCUUUGCUUCCCUUCAAUGCCUAAGGAAAAAUCACCUCCAGAGAGCAGAAAUCACCAUGGACAGAAAUAGUAAAUGUUUGAGAUAUUUAAGAAAACAAAAUGGGAUAUUGAAGCCUGGGCAGGAAAGAGAAAAAGAAAGCAUAGAGAGCAGAGAGACGAAAUGUGUGUGAUCCAGGUCUUCAGUUUCUAUUGCAAGAUCAGCUUCCAUGGUGCCUCUGCUGGCUUUCCCUGCCUGGGGACUAUAUUGUGAUGGAAAGACCAAAGUGUCACGGGUGGUACAUGCUCGCUCAGCAGGGAGUGGAACUAUUAGAAGGUGGGGCCCUGUUGGAGUAUGUACGGCUAUGUUGGAGUAUGUACGGCCUUGUUGGAGUAGAAAUGUCAUUGUGGGUGUGGGCUUUAAUACCCACGGCCUUGCUUCCUGGAAGCCAGUAUUCUGCUGGCAGCCUUCAGAUGAAGAUGUAGAACUCUCAGCUCCUCCUGUACCAUGCCUGCCUGGAUGCUGCCAUGCUCCUGCCAUGAUGAUAAUGGACUGAACCUCUGAACCUUGUAAGCCAGCCCCAGUUAAAUGUUGUCCUUAUAAGAGUUGCCUUGGUCAUGGUGCCUGUUCACAUUAGUCAAACCCUAAGACAAGGUGAUACUGUGUCUUAAGUGUUUAAGCCGAGGUUUAAUCUCACAAUACCACAGGAGCGUGGUCUUUCACAGAGAGGUUCCCGAAGUGAGCCAGUGAAAUACAGUCCUAGAUAUUGGCAACUAUAGGCUUGGUAACAACACACAGACUAUCUAAAUUAAUCCGUACCAUCGGCCCCUUGGGCCCUAAAGCAACUGGAUUUGACUGGCUGCCUGGGGUAUUUCAUAGUUUGUUAACAAAUUUGCUGUGAACAGUCAUAUUUCUGUUGACUUUGGAAACCAGUAGAAAAAAAUGUUUUUAGUGCACAAAAUUAUUAUUCUUCUCUAACUAAUUUUCCCACUCUCUAGGUAGGUUGCUGGAUGCUUUGGGUUUAUCUUCUGGGCUGGGAAAUAAAGGUUCUUUUGUUGUUGUUGUUUUA